rnacentral:lncRNA from 1 species
AGGCCCCGCCCCCCGGCGCCAGGCUCGCUGGGCAGCGCCUCCUCCCGGAGGUCCCUCCGCUGGUUCCUUCAUUCCGCUGGUUCCUUCAUUUCGCUGAAUGGUUCCUGCUUCUCCACGCCAAUGACAUGGUGAGAGAAUACAGGGGGAGCUGAAGACAAACAACAUAAACUUAUGUUUGCAAAGCACCUUUUACUCUGUGAAAUAAAGUGAGUGCAAGCAGUAAAUGGAACAACAAGCUUUCAGAGUCACUGCAGGGCAAGAGCUGGGGAAGGAAGAGCUGGCUGGUCAGGGAGGAUGCACUGGAGAGAAAAACCAUCACUCAAUUGGCUAGGACAUUCCAGGACAUCAGGGAGACCACACAACAGCCAGAGUGUCUCUUCUCCUCCAAAUGAACGCAACACCUCUCCAGCAAGGGCACAGAACUGGGCUGAGGCUGAGUAUUGCUGAGGCAAUACCGUUUAGAACAUAGGCACGGGUAAGGAUUUCAUGACAAAAACACCAAAAGCAAUUGCAACCAAAGCAAAAAUUGAUAAAUGGGAUCUAAUUGAAC